rnacentral:rRNA from 1 species
UACGUAGGGGGCAAGCGUUGUCCGGAAUCAUUGGGCGUAAAGCGCGUGUAGGCGGCUCGAUAAGUCUGCUGUGAAAGUCCAGGGCUCAACCCUGGGAUGCCGGUGGAUACUGUCGAGCUCGAGUCCGGAAGAGGCGAGUGGAAUUCCUGGUGUAGCGGUGAAAUGCGCAGAUAUCAGGAGGAACACCAGUGGCGAAGGCGGCUUUCUGGACGGUAACUGACGCUGAGACGCGAAAGCGUGGGGAGCAAACAGG